ACACCGAUGCUACCGAGAGGACAGUUACGUGAUGAUGCGUUUAAGAAUGCAAUAAUGGCAUAAGACGCGGACACAUUAUUACACAAUCAUGUUCGCGGCUUAGACCUUCGAUAAUAUUGGCCGAACGUUAGUAGAACUUUGCGUGCCAUUUUAAUCACGAAUACUCUUCCGCCAAUUGUAACAUACGUAAAUAGAUAAUCCCUGGUAUUACAAGAAAAUUAGAAAAACGACAGUAGCUAUGUAAAAUUAUCUACCUAGUACUACCUUAUAUAUCGCUAACUCAACUAUAUGACUAUAUAAGGAAAUUAUCAAUAGAAUCUUAAUAAAUACAUAUUUAAACAAUGUUGAUAUAAAAAGUUGAGAAAAAGCGAUAAAAAAUAUUUCACGACAAAGUCAAAGAUCAUCACUAACUCGCAGAGUCCGCGAUCUUUUACCGACAGAGCAAUACAAUUCUGAUCCACAGCGUGCAGUCUAAUUAACCUGUUGUACGUUACACAACGCGACGAACUGUGUGUGAAUUCGAUAAACGAUUCGCAGAAAAAGCACUGAAAGGUUCGACGUUGAUCGAACGCGCUACCACGUCAACAUUAUCGACAAAACAAUUGUAAUUUACAUGCGUUACGCAAUCAUGUCCGAGAGCGCGGCUCGAAAUAUUCACUGUACGCUUGGAGACUACAUUUCGAUUAAUAAACCGUCGAGUCGAUUAUUGUAGUUGACGAUCUACCCCAGAUUAUAUAAUCGAAAGAUGGACCGUGGAACGGUUAAAGAUAAACCUGAGGCGCGCGAACCCGAGUCGAAAAACAAACGCAGCUUCUUGUGACACAGCACCGCGUCCGACCGAGGCACUGCUGCCAGUGGCAACUGCAACUCAUGCUCCGUGCUCCACGGAAUACAGUCGAGAGAUCUUAAACGUUCGUUACACAAUUACGACCUUGAAGACACACAGUAGCAUGUUCAGGAAUUUAUCCGACGAAAUCGAUUCGGAAUUCGAGAUUCUCCGCGUUGCCGACCAGGCUUUGUGUAUUUAUACGAAGGCACGUAUUCAAAGCGGGUACACGUGUAUGCGUGACGAUCAACCGUUACAACCUAACCAGAGAGGGGCAAAGCGAGAUGAUUGGCGGGGACCAGCCACACGAAAAUUGAUUUCAAUCGAUCAAGGUAUACGACUCAGGUGUACAAUAGGAAAACCAAACGAUCGCGCGCGCGAUUCUCCGCGAAAAACACACACGCACGCACGCACGCACACACACACACAUACACACAGAGGAAGAGAGAAUAUAUACGACACACGCGACGACUAGUUGACGACUAGAGUAGUAGUCAUGAUGCUGUAGUGAGCAGCCACAGUGAACUACGAUAUGUGACCGUAAGCCGUUGUGCAGCAGCAGCAGCAAGCAGAAACGGCGCUACAUUCUCGUCUCUAUCUCGACUGUUAUACAAUCCACACGCAUAUAUCGGUUCCUUCUGCUUAGACCAGUGUUUCCGCAACCGAUCUGUGAGGAGAACGAUGUUUUUAGGCUCUGAUGAAAGAACGUUAGAAACUACUGUAUCGUUCCUUUGGUCUGCAGUUGAUAGGGAAAAUACAGAGAACAAUAGUAGUUGCGACUGAGGUUUCAAAGAUUUCAUGGAUUUGUGUAACACGAGUUAGAAAGCACGUUAGAAGGAGGAACAAACCAAAGCUAACAUACUUUGCUAACCAAACCGCUAUUUAUAGCGAUGGUGCGGAUGGGCUGCUGGUGGGAAACUAAAAUUCUAUUAAUAGAGUCAUUCUUGUUGUUAUUUGUGAAAGGUAGAUUUUAUCUGUUAAGAAUUUGAUUUUUACAGAUGAUUUUCUUAGAGUUUAAUCUGACUAUUUUUGGUUACAAUUAAAUUUUGUAUUCUGCUGUGUUUUUUAUUUUGUAAUAAGGAGAAGAAGAUGGGAAAACGUAAAAAGAUGACAGAGUUGUAUUUUUAUUGGAGUAAGUGAAUAUUUUAGUUUGUAGAAGAGAUUUUUUAAGAAAGGCAAUUUAGGGAGCACUAUAGCAGAAACCAGUGACUCAAUGCGCGCGCCGAAUCAGUCUCCCUUAAUGUGUGUUAGCGACGUACGAAGAUAGAAGACAAAUGGAAGAAAACACGUAAAAAGCAAUUGCUGCUGCUCUAUCGUGCGUGCUGCCGUCGAUUGAGGUGAAUAGUGCCAAGGGACAAAGAUUAAUGACUCUAUAAUUAUUUACUCCUUUUAAAACUUAGGAAGACUCUCUAACACGAGAAUUGCUAUAAUUCAGUU